UAUUAUUUUUAUUCUCACUGCAAUGACUUGUUAAAAUGUUAUUUUGAAUACGAAUAUUCAAAACAUAAUCGCUCAUUUACCCAGCUUGUACAGUAUUUACAUUUCAGUUUGUAAAUACAGAUGGCACCACAUCUCCUACUAUCAUUGCGGCUACAAACAAUUUCAGAAUUGCAUUUGUCACCGUUUUACGCCAGGGUCUGUUCUACCCGCCUUGUGUGACAGAGCUGCUCAUGGGUGGGUACAGGCUGCCGCGCUAAUCCGUUUAGCUGUGAUGAAGCGCAAGGCAUCCGAGAGACUCCGCGUCGUGGUCACGCCAGCGCGCCUGGUAGCAAAUCGGCAGUCCGGUGAUGGAUUACUGCAGCUGAAAUGAAGAAUAAAGAAGGAUGAAACCGCUAGGUGGCAGGAGAAAUCUCCAUCUGGUAGGUAGGAGAUUUCAAGCUGUCGUUCGAGGUUCAUGGGACACAAACUACUGAUUCAUAUGGAACAAAUGUUGCGAUUCCCAAGAGCUGUUUGAGUAAACUUUCAUUUCAUCAGAGGAACAUCCUCCUUGUUUGCCAUUGCUUUUGGGGGAACCAGCAUACAUACCGGAGAAUCAGAAAGACCGAGAGAAAGAUCCAUUUUCUAUCCACUUUAUCCAGUUCAAGGUUGCAGGGGAGUCCGAGCCUGUCCCAGCACACAGCGUCCCACUGUCAGCACUGGCUGUACUGGAAGCUAAGCAAACACCCCAAGACAAGAGCUGAAAGAGCUGCUUUGAUUAUACAGACCGGGAGGCGUUUGACCAGACUGACAUCCUCACCUCCUGUUGGAGGUCUGUGGGGAGGAGGGGGCGCUGCUAUCAACACAUUCCAGGGGAGCCCCACCCAGGUCCAGCAGCUUUUCCAGAUCACUCCUAAAGGGGCAGUUUCUGAAUUGCUCAGUACUGUUCAAUGAAGCAGGUGAUUCGGGCAAUCAGGUAGUUUGAAGAUCAUCCAUCCAUCCAUUUUCCAACUGCUUUAUCCGAUACAGGGUUUCAGGGGAGCCGCAACUUAUCUCGGCAAGCAACAGGAGCAGGGCA